rnacentral:misc_RNA from 1 species
UGUACCAAUAUUUCCUCGAAAUCUAUCAGUAUAUGAAAAUCUGCAAUUUGUAACGUUUGAAGAUUGUAAUUUUCAAGUAAAACUUCUGUAGGCAUGCUUGGUUUGGGGAGUGAGCUGGUGAAUUCGUGACGAGAGCAUUAUGAAAAAAAAAGUGAUUGGGCGAGGCGAACGAAAGUUGAGAGGGAGAUAUAAAUUAGGGCAAGGAGUUUUACUUCAGUCGUGUG